GACAGAGGGUGCAAACGUUGCUCGGAAUUACUGGGCGUAAAGGGCUCGUAGGCGGCCAACUAAGUCGGAUGUGAAAUCCCCGGGCUCAACCUGGGAACUGCAUUUGUGACUGUAGAGCUGGAGUACGGCAGAGGGGGAUGGAAUUCCGCGUGUAGCAGUGAAAUGCGUAGAUAUGCGGAGGAACACCGAUGGCGAAGGCAAUCCCCUGGGCCUGUACUGACGCUCAUGCACGAAAGCGUGGGGAGCAAACAGG
rnacentral:rRNA from 1 species